GGACGAACGCUGGCGGCGUGCUUAACACAUGCAAGUCGAGCGGGGUCCAACCGGUAGCAAUACCGGGGAAGACCUAGCGGCGAACGGGUGAGUAACACGUGAGCAAACCUGCCCCGAAGUCUGGGAGUAACACCGGGAAACCGGUGCUAAUACCGGAUGCCCUCAUCGAGUCACCUGGCUUGAUGAGGAAAGAUUUAUCGCUUCGGGAGGGGCUCGCGACCUAUCAGCUUGUUGGCGGGGUAACGGCCC
rnacentral:rRNA from 1 species